rnacentral:lncRNA from 1 species
CCCAUCUUGAGCCCCCCCCCCCCUCCCCGAUGAUUCUUUCAACAGAGUAUGACUGUACCAGGUACAGGCACAGUCCAACUUCCCUCAUCCAUAUCUCUUUCAGGCAUCUGGCUUGGUUGGCAGGGAGGAACUCGCCCCAGGGACUGAUAUCCUGCCUCCCCUACCCACCAUACGCCCUUAUGUUCUAACAGGUCUCCAGGGAAAGAACAAACUAAAUAAUCAGAAGCAGCCCUGGAAUAAAUACAGAGUACAAAAUGACAGCUAGUGGUAUGCAUGGAGGGAGAAGUGGCGGGGGUGGGGGCGAGGGUGGGGGGGAUGAUGGCAUGCAGCACUGGGGUUCCUUAGGAGGGACAAGGUCCCCGUUUCUCCCCAUGUUCUGAGAUAUUUGAAGGACUUGGGGAGGGAGUCAGCUGACCGGGAGAAGCAAGACCUCUGCAGAGGAAGG